CUACGGGCGGCUCCAGUGGGGAAUAUUGCACAAUGGGCGCAAGCCUGAUGCAGCCAUGCCGCGUGUAUGAAGAAGGCCUUCGGGUUGUAAAGUACUUUCAGCGGGGAGGAAGGGAGUAAAGCUAAUACCUUUGCUCAUUGACGUUACCCGCAGAAGAAGCACCGGCUAACUCCGUGCCAGCAGCCGCGGUAAUACGGAGGGUGCAAUCGUUAAUCGGAAUUACUGGGCGUAAAGCGCACGCAGGCGGUUUGUUAAGUCAGAUGUGAAAUCCCCGGGCUCAACCUGGGAACUGCAUCUGAUACUGGCAAGCUUGAGUCUCGUAGAGGGGGGUAGAAUUCCAGGUGUAGCGGUGAAAUGCGUAGAGAUCUGGAGGAAUACCGGUGGCGAAGGCGGCCCCCUGGACGAAGACUGACGCUCAGGUGCGAAAGCGUGGGGAGCAAACAGGAUUAGAUACCCGAGUAGUC
rnacentral:rRNA from 1 species